AAAGUUGAAAUAGAACUUUGCAGAGAGAGUUAACAGGGCGUGAAACCGUUAAUUGGCAAACGAAUCGGAGCCACGAAGUCGUUUCGUUGUUUAGCCUGGACUAGGUUCAGCUGGGGUCUCGCAAGGGGCCCUAGUGUAUUCCUGAGUCUGGCCAAACCUUGUAAGCGUACACUGCAACCAGUUAGACGAUCAGCAGUGGGCACAGUGGUUGGAGUCAGCCAGCAAUGGUCGGUUCCUUCUACGAAGCAAUUGUUUGUGUGGGUUAGUAGUAGUGCGGUUGUGCUUCGGUGCUUCUCGUGUUGCUGGACCCAUGCAAGUGAACUACAGCUGAAUACUGACUGGCGAAAUGAAAAUCACCUUUUAGGUGUUAGAGACAAAGCAGCUAGCCAGACGUGGGCCUACACGGUCGACUGUUAGGUCUAAGCUUGGCGCUUUUGAAUUCAGACUUGCUUGCUACCAGUGGGGCAACUCCUGGUGCUUGUAUAGCUUCUGUCUAAUCGGGCGUCGACUUGGCUUGGCAUUGUUCGGUCGUGCUACGAUAGGGUUUGCGUCUGAGUUGGUUUGCAAUGUGAAUUGGCAGUGAGUAGGUCGGCUUUCCGAACGACCCGUCUUGA
rnacentral:rRNA from 1 species